UACCAGCACCCCGAGUGGUCGGGACGAUUAUUGGGCCUAAAGCAUCCGUAGCCGGUCAUGCAAGUCCUCCGUUAAAUCCACCUGCUUAACAGAUGGGCUGCGGGAAGAUACUAUAGAGCUAGGAGGCGGGAGAGGCAAGCGGUACUCGAUGGGUAGGGGUAAAAUCCGUUGAUCCAUGAAGACCACCAGUGGCGAAGGCGGCUUGCCAGAACGCGCUCGACGGUGAGGGAUGAAAGCUGGGGGAGCAAACCGG
rnacentral:rRNA from 1 species